CAAGUGAGUUAGGAGAGAGCACU
rnacentral:piRNA from 1 species